UGGGGAAUUUUCCGCAGUGGGCGAAAGCCUGACGGAGCAAUGCCGCGUGGAGGUGGAAGGCCUACGGGUCGUCAACUUCUUUUCUCGGAGAAGAAACAAUGACGGUAUCUGAGGAAUAAGCAUCGGCUAACUCUGUGCCA
rnacentral:rRNA from 1 species